rnacentral:rRNA from 1 species
CACGGGGGGAGCAAGCGUUGUUCGGAAUCACUGGGCGUAAAGGGCGUGUAGGCGGUCUGGUAAGUGGGAUGUGAAAGCCCCCGGCUCACCCGGGGAUCUGCAUUCCAAACUGCCAGACUUGAGUAUGGGAGAGGACAGGGGAAUUCCUGGUGUAGCGGUGAAAUGCGUAGAUAUCAGGAGGAACACCGGUGGCGAAAGCGCCUGUCUGGCCCAAUACUGACGCUGGAUGCGCGAAAGCUAGGGGAGCAAACGGG